AGACAGAGGGUGUCUGUGGGUUCAGUCUAAAGGUGGCUCUGUUGAUUGGGGUCUUUCCCAGUGUAAUACAGAGUACAGAUUCCUUUGCAUGGGAGGUGACACUGAUACCACAUCGACUACACUGUCAUCUUCUACUUCAUCUUUUUUAACACCAACCAUAACAGUUUCAAAUACUACAGGUGUAAUCUCGAGUAAUUUAUUUACUUAUACUGGCACUGGUGUGACUCACAUCCCGAACACGUCACGUAGCACGAACGGUAAUUCUGGAUCUUUGCCGGAAACACAGACUCAGUCUGGUGA